GUACUGAUGAAGAGUCUCACACCAGAACGAAACAGUUGUCCAGUAU
rfam:Trichobilharzia regenti genome assembly, scaffold: TRE_scaffold0061308